rnacentral:lncRNA from 10 species
GGUGGGACCAUCCAGUUGCAGGAAAACAAGCUUAACAUGCCCACUGAUUCUACAUUAUGCUCCUACCUCCCGGCAGCAUCUCCAGGCCCAGAACUUUCUCCAGUCAGCCUCUACAGACCAAGCUCAUGACUCACAAUGGCCUAUUUAGGCCCAUACCCUACCUCACGGCAGUCUCCGCAGAUGAGCCUACUGCCUCACAACAGCCUCCACAGGCACAGCUCCGUCGUUACAAUGGCCUCUUUAGACCCAGCUCCUGCCUCCCAGCCUUCUCUCCAGGCCCUG